CUGCUAGGAAUAUCCUAUCACUCUUUGCACAGUUACGCACACACAUACCCAUAAAAACAAUCAUCUAAAAUGAGAGCUCUGUCGCUGCGAACAGGACUUGUCGCUCGUGCUUCUGCGGUGGCGUACACUAGUCAGCGCUGGUGCUCUGCUGACGCCAAGUCUGAGAAACGUGCUGAGGAGGAGAAAGAAGCACCAUCGACUGGCACCGAGGAGGUCGUGUCCGCUGCCGCUGUCAAGCAGCUGGAGAAAGAGCUUGAUGCGUCCAAGGCCAAGAUUGAGGAACUCAAGAAGGAGAUCCUGUACCGCGCAGCGGAUGCUGAAAACGCGCGCCGCAUCGGCCGCGAGGACGUGGAGAAGGCAAAGCUUUACGGCAUCAGCUCAUUUGGCAAGGAUAUGCUGGAAGUUGCAGACACGCUUGAGAAGGGCGUCGAGGCGUUUUCUGCCUUUUCAGAGGCUGAGCUGAAUGAAAACAAGAUUCUGUGCUCCAUUUUCACUGGCGUCAAGCUCUCGCACAAAGUUCUCCUCAAGAACCUCAGCAAACACGGCAUUGAGAAGAUGGGCGUCACGGUAGGUACAAAGUUCGACCCCAACCUGCAUGAUGCGCUUGUGAGCACUUCGGCCACUGAGACGGCUCCUGCCGACACAAUCUCCAAUGUUUUGAAGGAUGGUUACACUCUCAAGAGCCGUGUUCUUCGUGCAGCUCAGGUCAGCGUUUCCCAACAUCCGUAAAGUACAAAGCAGAGGUGAGCCGGCAACUUUUUUCGCCUGGAUGGGUUGUUUUUCGUGCUGUUCAAAACGUCGUUUCUCCAGUGCCCAAUGAUGCUGCGCAGCGUUUCUUUCUAGCCGCUAAAGGUUCACAUUGCGUUGCCGCCCCCCAAGUGAGAGGAUCUUGGAGCAGAAAGUGUUUUAUUUCUUAGGCCGAUAUAUUAUAUUGGGGGCUAACGCUGUAAUAAGCUGGAGAGAAACAGGACACGCACACGGCAGGCACUUUUUUUUUAAGUGCCGUGCGCUUCACAUGUAUUUGUGUGCUAGCGAGAUGAUGAGCGAUUCUAAAAAUAAAACAGAGGAUUUAAAGUGAGUUGCUGCGACGAGCAAUAGACUGCUCUUCCCAUUCAGCUAGCAAGCAUCGAGGAUACGGCCCAGCCUACGCGGACCUAAUGAACUUGCCGCUUUUCCUUUUGAUCCUGAUUUUCUUGCUAGUCACAUAUUUUAUUAGUACUUUUGAUCUUCUGCGGUGUAUCUGAAGACCCG
rnacentral:misc_RNA from 1 species